AUUGAACGCUGGCGGCAGGCCUAACACAUGCAAGUCGAGCGGAGCGGCGGACGGGUGCGUAAUGCCUAGGAAUCUGCCUGGGCGUGGGGGAUAACGUUCGGAAAUGGGCGCUAAUACUGCUUACUAUCAGAUGCGCCUAGGUCGGAUUAGCUAGUUGGUGGGGUAAAGGCCUACCAAGGCGACGAUCCGUAUCUGGUCUGAGAGGAUGAUCAGUCACACUGGAACUGAGACACGGUCCAGACUCCUACGGGAGGCAGCAGUGGGGAAUAUUGGACAAUGGGCGAAAGCCUGAUGCAGCCAUGCCGCGUGUGUGAAGAAGGUCUUCGGAUUGUAAAGCACUUUAAGUUGGGAGGCGUUACCAACAGAAUAAGCACCGGCUAACUCCGUGCCAGCCGCCGCGGUAAUUC
rnacentral:rRNA from 1 species